ACAUAAAAAGGUUUGGUCUUGGCCUUAUAGUUAGUUAGAGGUAAAAUUACACAUGCAAAACUCCCUAAACCAGUGUCAAUUCCCUUAGAAUUUUAUUAUAAACCUAAGGAGAGGGCAUCAAGCACAUAUAAAUAGCUCAAGACGCCUUGCCUAGCCACGCCCCCACGGGACUCAGCAGUGAUAAAAAUUAAGCAAUGAACGAAAGUUUGACUAAGUUAUACAUCUCCAGGGUUGGUAAAUUUUGUGCCAGCCACCAUGGCCAUACGAUUAACCCAAACUAAUUAUCCUUGGCAUAAAACGUGUCCUUAGGGGAAAAAAAAUAGAAUUAAAAAAUCAACGAACAUGUGAAAAUUCAUCGUUGACUUUAAACUCACUAAUGAAAGUAAUUCUAAUUCACUUAAUAUACGAUAGCUAAGGUGCAAACCGGGAUUAGAUACCCCACUAUGCGUAGCCCUAAACUUUAAUAAUUACAUAACAAAAUUGUUUGCCUGAGAACUACUGGCCACAGCUUAAAACUCAAAGGACUUGGCGGUACUUUCUGUCCAUCUAGAGGAGCCUGUUCUAUAAUCGAUAAACCCCAUUUACCUCACCAUCCCUUGCUAAUUCAGCCUAUAUACCGCCAUCUUCAGCAAACGUUAAAAAAGAACAACAGUAAGCAAGAGAAUCACCAUAAAAACNUUAGGUCAAGGUGUAGCCUAUGAGAUGGGAAGUAAUGGGCUCCAUUUUCUUAACAAGAACAUUACGAAACUCCUUAUGAAAUCUAAAGGACAAAGGAAGAUUUAGUAGUAAAUUAAGAAUAGAGAGCUUAAUUGAAUAGCGCAAUGAAGUACGCACACACCGCCCGUCACUCUCCUCAAAUUGAAUGAACAAAAUACAAUACAUAAUACAAUUAGCAAGUUUAUGAGAGGAGAUAAGUCAUAACAAGAUAAGCAUACUGGAAAGUGUGCUUGGAAUAAUCAUAGU
rnacentral:ncRNA from 1 species